GGUGGCUGUGACGACUAGGUAAAAUUCAAGCUCAACAGACCAAAUCACAGGUCUCUCUCCAAGGCCUUUGGAGAUGGGAUCUGUAUGCCGAGUUUCCGCUCAGCCGAGCCAUC
rfam:Oryza glaberrima chromosome 4 Oglab04_0273_6, whole genome shotgun sequence.